UUGAGUUAUCAGCGAGCCUCAAGGGAGAAAGAAGAACGAAGAAAUAACUUCCAAGGUAACAAACUGGAGCAGCGGUAAAGAGCACACACCUCUGAAGAGUCUCUUAGGUGAGGCCAUUAGUAGCAACAAUCCGAAAUCACUGAAAAUGGAAGAAAAUAAUGGUUCUGGAUUGACAACUGUUAACUCGAUUCUCGGUCCCGAGUCACCUUCAGGUCAAGUGAUGAAAGGAGAGGCUGCAAAUGAGUAGAACUCACCAGCAAGAUAUUUUUCAUUUCGCAAUAACACUAUAACAUGGGCACGAUUUUGCAGGGGACUUACAGAGCUGCAGAUCACCGGACUAGUUAGAAUGCCUAACAAGAGACGUCCAGAUUUUGUACAGACAUUUGGAUUUUGAUCGCAUAAUUCACUACUUUACUCUAUGUGAUUUAUUAUUUUUCAUGGAUGUUUGGUAAAGUACAUAUUUCCUUUUCAACAUCUUAAAUUUGUUUUUGUAAAUUAUUGCCAAGUAAUAGAUAAGUUAUUCUAAAAAGUAACCAUUUAUUCAAAGGCAGCAUUAAUAUAUUGAACCGUGCAACAUAAUAUUAUGCAGUCAUGCAGCAA